CCCUUAGAUGUUCUGGGCCGCACGCGCGCUACACUGAUGCAUUCAACGAGUUUAUAACCUGGAUGGAGACGUCUCUGGGUAAUCUUUUAAACCUGCAUCGUGAUGGGGAUAGAUCUUUGAAAUUAUAGAUCUUCAACGAGGAAUUCCUAGUAAACGCAAGUCAUCAGCUUGCAUUGAUUACGUCCCUGCCCUUUGUACACACCGCCCGUCGCUCCUACCGAUUGAAUGUUCCGAUGAAUACCAUGGACUGAGAGUAUGAAUGGGUUCGCCUAUUUCUGCUUCUCGGGAAGUGGAGUAAAUCUUAACAUUUAGAGGAAGGAGAAGUCGUAACA
rnacentral:rRNA from 1 species